rnacentral:rRNA from 1 species
GGAUCGCAUUAUGACUUUCGGGUCGGCGAUGGAUCAUUCAAGUUUCUGACCUAUCAGCUUUCGACGGUACUGUAUUGGACUACCGUGGCAGUGACGGGUAACGGGGAAUUAGGGUUCGAUUCCGGAGAGGGAGCCUGAGAAACGGCUACCACAUCUAAGGAAGGCAGCAGGCGCGCAAAUUACCCAAUCCUGACUCAGGGAGGUAGUGACAAGAAAUAACAACACUGGAAAUUCUUUUUCUAGUGAUUGGAAUGAUGGGAAUCCAAACCCCUUUCAGAGUAACAAUUGGAGGGCAAGUCUGGUGCCAGCAGCCGCGGUAAUUCCAGCUCCAAUAGCGUAUAUUAAAGUUGUUGCAGUUAAAAAGCUCGUAGUUGGAUAUCUGCUGGAAGCAGCCAGUCCGCCCUUUGUGGGUGUGCACUUGGUGAAUUCUGGCAUCCUCCUGAUUGGUGUCAUCAUCACUUCAUUGUGUUGGUGGCAGCUGUCAGGACCGUUACUUUGAGAAAAUUAGAGUGUUUCAAGCAGGCUUGUUGCCUUGAAUACUGCAGCAUGGAAUAACAAGAUAGGAUUUCGGUUCUAUUUUGUUGGUUUCUAGRACUGAAGUAAUGAUUAAUAGGGACAGUUGGGGGCAUUCGUAUUUAACUGUCAGAGGUGAAAUUCUUAGAUUUGUUAAAGACGAACUACUGCGAAAGCAUUUGCCAAAGAUGUUUUCAUUAAUCAAGAACGAAAGUUAGGGGCUCGAAGACGAUCAGAUACCGUCGUAGUCUUAACCAUAAACUAUGCCGACUAGAGAUAGGAAAAAGUCAUCCUUGACUCUC